rnacentral:lncRNA from 1 species
CAUCACAAGUGCUUCUUGACCAAUAAUCCUUUUUAAACCUGCUUAUGCACUUGAAACUUUGUUAAACACUUAAGCUUGCAUCAUUAAAUCACCAAAACCCACUUAAGGGGGCCAAGAUACUCUUCAAUCUCCCCCUUUUUGGUGAUUGAUGACAACAUGCUUAAGUCUUACAGGAGAUAAAAAUAAAGUAUCAAAAUAUAGAUAACAAAAGUUUCCAGAAUUUUUCGCACAUUUCUAUCAAAAUAAAAAAAAACCAUCACAGAAAAUUUUCACACUAACAGCCAUCAAUCCUUAGAUAGAUAACAGAAGUAAUAAUCAAACAAAGUACACCCAAUACAAGUUCAUGCUCACAUAGUCUUAUAAGCCAUAAAGAUCAAAAGAUAGAGUUUUGAUACAAUGACCAUCCAUCCCACAAAUCACUCCCCCUUUGGCAUCAAGUGCCAAAAAGGAAAUGAACCCAGCAAGGUAGCACUACUCCUCGUUGUGGUAGUCGUCGUUGUC